UACGUAGGGGGGCAAGCGUUGUCCGGAAUCAUUGGGCGUAAAGAGCGUGUAGGCGGCCCGGUAAGUCCGCUGUAAAAGUCAAAGGCUCAACCUUUGAAUGUCAGUGGAUACUGCCGGGCUAGAGUCCGGAAGAGGCGAGUGGAACUCCUGGUGUAGCGGUGGAAUGCGCAGAUAUCAGGAAGAACACCGGUGGCGAAGGCGGUCUGCUGGGGGUAAUGCUGACACUGAUGUGCGACAGCGGUGGGGAGCAAACAGG
rnacentral:rRNA from 1 species